rnacentral:rRNA from 1 species
UGGGGAAUCUUGGACAAUGGGGGCAACCCUGAUCCAGCCAUGCCGCGUGAGUGAUGAAGGCCUUAGGGUCGUAAAGCUCUUUCGCCUGUGAAGAUAAUGACGGUAGCAGGUAAAGAAACCCCGGCUAACUCCGUGCCAGCAGCCGCGGUAAUACGGAGGGGGUUAGCGUUGUUCGGAAUUACUGGGCGUAAAGCGCACGUAGGCGGACCAGAAAGUUGGGGGGUGAAAUCCCGGGGGCUCAACCCCGGAACUGCCUCCAAAACUAUUGGUCUAGAGUUCGAGAGAGGUGAGUGGAAUUCCAAGUGUAGAGGUGAAAUUCGUAGAUAUUUGGAGGAACACCAGUGGCGAAGGCGGCUCACUGGCUCGAUACUGACGCUGAGGUGCGAAAGUGUGGGGAGCAAACAGGAUUAGAUACCCUGGGUAGUCCACACCGUAAAACGAUGAAUGCCAGUCGUCGGGUAGCAUGCUAUUCGGUGACACACCUAACGGAUUAAGCAUUCCGGCCUGGGGAGUACGGUCGCAAGAUUAAAA